AACGCGAAGAACCUUACCUGGGCUCGAACGGCUCCCUAACGACUGUGGAAACAUGGUUACCCCGCAAGGGGGUGGAGUCGAGGUGCUGCAUGGCUGUCGUCAGCUCGUGUCGUGAGAUGUUGGGUUAAGUCCCGCAACGAGCGCAACCCUCGCCCUUAGUUGCCAGCCGAAAGGCGCACUCUAGGGGGACUGCCACGGAUAACGUGGAGGAAGGUGGGGAUGACGUCAAGUCCUCAUGGCCUUUAUGUCCAGGGCUACACACGUGCUACAAUGGUCGGUACAAUCCGUCGCCAACCCGCGAGGGGGAGCCAAUCGGAAAAAGCCGACCUCAGUUCGGAUUGUAGUCUGCAACUCGGCUACAUGAAGCUGGAAUCGCUAGUAAUGGCAGAUCAGCAUGCUGCCGUGAAUACGUUCCCGGGCCUUGUACACACCGAGACGUA
rnacentral:rRNA from 1 species